rnacentral:rRNA from 1 species
GACAUAGGUGGCGAACGUUAUCCGGAUUUAUUGGGCGUAAAGAGCUCGUAGGCGGCUUGUUGCGUCGUCCGUGAAAACCCGUGGCUCAACUGCGGUCUUGCGGACGAUACGGGCAGGCUGGAGUUCGGUAGGGGAGACUGGAAUUCCUGGUGUAGCGGUGAAAUGCGCAGAUAUCAGGAGGAACACCGGUGGCGAAGGCGGGUCUCUGGGCCGAUACUGACGCUGAGGAGCGAAAGCGUGGGGAGCGAACAGG